GAUUAUUAUGAAUAUUUAUUAUGUUUUAGGUCUCAGUAUGAUAAAAAUACAUUAUCUAUACUCACCAGUUUUCUUAGGUCUUAUUAUGAGUUAUAAGAAAGUUUGUCUGAUUAUAUGUACACAGUGCUUUCUCUGAUUGUCUGAUUAUAUGUACACAGUGCUUUCUCUGUUUGGAUAUAUGUUGGUAAAAAGGCAAAUAUGUCAUAGCAUAUCAUGCAAAAUGCAUCAUAGGUAAUGAUUGUUCUUCGCUUUAAUCUUCAUAUAUAAAAGGGAUUGCAUUUGAUGAUCAUUAGAUUCCAUGUGAGAGCUUACAACAGAUCAAUUUUCUUUGUUUCCACCUCAUUGACUGUUUGUUGUACAUGAUAUGGAAAAUCUUACCUUCUUUGUUCUCCUACCAUGCAUUUGAGAUGUUGGACUAAUGGAAUAAAAAGUGGUUGCAUGUAUGUAGUAAAGCUGUGUUGCGAUCAUAUUAAACAUGAUUGCUUUCCAUCAAAUCAAAAUUCAUGUGCAGAGCUGUAAUAAGUGUCCAUUCUAUAUACUUUUAUGCCUGCAGUCGCACUUAACAAACAAAAUGGAGAACAGGCCAAAUCUGAAUGCAACUGGAACACAAGAUAGUGAUAUUAUGAAGCCUCUGGAACAAAAAGAGAGGUUUAGGAGCCGUAACGAUAUGAUGACUCGUCGUCUAAAGAACCGAGAACGGCAACGUAGGUACAGGGCCCGAAAACGCCUUGAAGCAGAUAUGGAAAAAUCUUCUGUCACAAACCAGUCAUCUAUACCACAAGGGGAACUGGAAAUUAAUGGAAACCAUAACAAUUACAUUACCCGUGUUUAUUGUAAAAGAAAUUGGAAAAAAGAUGCAAGAAGAGCUCAUACAUGUAAAAGUUUACAAGAAGCAAGUGCAGCUGUUAUUUCUGGUGUGACCUUAAAUAGUGAAAGUCAGACACACUCUUUGGUCCCUGAAGUAGCAAUACAACCACUCAUAGAGAGGAAAAGCCAUUCAGAGAAUUCUCUUAGCAUGUCAGGUGAAACAAAAACCAGUCUUGGUAGAAGAGAUUGGAAGGCUGAAGCAAGAAGAAAGAAAAACUAAAUUGGUUAUUACCACUCUGGAUGAAUGAAUGUGCUACAGAUGCAAAGUGGUUGCUGGAUAUAGACUGGAAAAUGUUCAAGUUGUAAUGUUGAUGUGCUUCUGCUGUUGCAGAUCUAUAAGGGCAUCACAGAAGUAUAUCCAGCAAGUCACAGUUCAAUUACCACCUAUUUUAUUGCUGGAAGAAUGUUGAUAUUGGAAGAUGAUAGUAGGCUUGACACCUGCCUCAUUUGUCUUUGUCAGGUCAGGUCCGGUCAGAAAUGUUCGAUCCAGCUAUUCUGAAAACGAAAACGGAGUUGCUCGAUAUUUAUGCUUAGUGUUACAAACUCGUGUCAUGAAGUGAGAGCUUUGUGGCAUUAUUAAUUUCUGUUAUUUCUGUAAGAAUACAAAUUUUAUGUGCGAGUAAUUUACCCAUUUUGAGGUUUAGUUUGGUAGUUUGUGUGGUGGGAUUUGGAAGGAUUGGCAGAUAAUGUGACACAUAUUGCAGUGUCUUUCGGCUGCAAAAUGAUCAGUAUGAUAUUAAAUUGCAGUUAUGAACUCAUUUAAUGGUCUAGGUCCCAUUUUACCUGUCAAUUUGUAUUUAACGGGUAUAUUAUGUCAGCAAAAUAAAUGGUGUUUCUUUUUUCCUUUGUA